CCAGUCGACCUUCAACAGCCAAACCCCGCCUCUGCCGGAAAUAGUCGCGGCGCCAGUAUCUCUAGGAUGCUCCGGAGUCACCUCUGAAAAGAGCCGGACUCUACACAAUUCGCCGUAUGUUCCGUUCCGUGGCGGUACCCUAGCAACCAAUUCCCUAGGUUUUGCGGGGGGGGGGGCAUCUUCUUUGCUGACGUCACGAAAAACUCCGCGUUCCGGACACAGGAGGAGGGAAGGAAAAGGAGAAAACGAAAAAUAAUGUCACGUGAUUCUGAUACAGGCACGAUGCGGAAAGCGGAGCUUCGCGGAUAUCACCCAAUGGUUCUCCUCCCAGGAAUGCUGCCGAGGCUGCCUGACCUCGUACUGAAUGUGCUUUCACAUUGAAUGGACAUGGAACUCUGGCUACUUUGUAUCCCAGCCUAAUUGCUGGCACCAUCCAUCUUGCUAUGGUCUGUGAUGAUGCAACCUUGCCUUUGUUUGGACCCGAAUGACAAAUAAAAAAUGUCUGACUCUGUCUGAAUGAUUUUGUCCUAUCCAUGUAAAAUAAAACAGCCCUUCUAACA